UGGGGAAUAUUGGACAAUGGGCGCAAGCCUGAUCCAGCCAUGCCGCGUGAGUGAUGAAGGCCUUAGGGUUGUAAAGCUCUUUCGCCGGUGAAGAUAAUGACGGUAACCGGAGAAGAAGCCCCGGCUAACUUCGUGCCAGCAGCCGCGGUAAUACGAAGGGGGCUAGCGUUGCUCGGAAUCACUGGGCGUAAAGCGCACGUAGGCGGAUCGUUAAGUCAGGGGUGAAAUCCUGGAGCUCAACUCCAGAACUGCCCUUGAUACUGGCGAUCUCGAGUUCGAGAGAGGUUGGUGAAACUCCGAGUGUAGAGGUGAAAUUCGUAGAUAUUCGGAAGAACACCAGUGGCGAAGGCGGCCAACUGGCUCGAUACUGACGCUGAGGUGCGAAAGCGUGGGGAGCAAAACAGGAUUAGAUACCCUGGUAGUCCACGCCGUAAACGAUGGAUGCUAGCCGUUGGGGGGUUUACCUCUCAGUGGCGCAGCUAACGCCUUAAGCAUCCCGCCUGGGGAGUACGGUCGCAAGAUUAAAACUUAAAGGAAUUGACGGGGUCAUAGCUG
rnacentral:rRNA from 1 species